rnacentral:lncRNA from 1 species
UUAGAGCAGCUGGCGUCCUGGGAUGCUGCCUGACCUUUUUGGGAACUAGCCUGAAACUGUUUUCUUUCCAUCGUGAUAGAUUUUACGUUGUAGUCAUCGGACAAAUCAUUCUGGCCAUCUCGAAUGUUCUUGUGGCCUGUCUCCCUUCAAAGUUAGCUGCUGUUUGGUUCAGCACUAAAGAAGUAACAAUAGCAUGCUCUCUCGGAGUAUUUGGAUCCCAAAUUGGAGUAGCUUUGGGAUACAUUUUUCCUUCGGUGAUAGUAAAUAACCAUGACAGCCCUAAAA